GAUUGAACGCUGGCGGUAUGCUUAACACAUGCAAGUCGAACGGAAACGAUACUAGCUUGCUAGUAGGCGUCGAGUGGCGGACGGGUGAGUAACGCGUAGGAAUCUGCCUGAUAGUGGGGGAUAGCCCGAAGAAAUUCGGAUUAAUACCGCAUAAUCUAUUCGUAGUAAAGUGGGGGACUUUCGAGCCUCACGCUAUCAGAUGAGCCUGCGUAAGAUUAGCUUGUUGGUAGGGUAAAAGCCUACCAAGGCGACGAUCUUUAGCUGGUCUGAGAGGAUGAUCAGCCACAUCGGGACUGAGACACGGCCCGAACUCCUACGGGAGGCAGCAGUGGGGAAUAUUGGACAAUGGGGGCAACCCUGAUCCAGCAAUACCGCGUGUGUGAAGAAGGCCUGAGGGUUGUAAAGCACUUUCAAUUGUGAAGAAAAGUUAGCGGUUAAUAACCGUUAGCCUUGACGUUAACUUUAGAAGAAGCACCGGCUAACUCCGUGCCAGCAGCCGCGGUAAUACGGAGGGUGCAAGCGUUAAUCGGAAUUACUGGGCGUAAAGCGUGCGUAGGCGGUUUAUUAAGUCAGAUGUGAAAGCCCCCGGGCUUAACCUGGGAACUGCAUUUGAAACUGGUCAACUAGAGUAUGGUAGAGGAAAGUGGAAUUUCUGGUGUAGCGGUGAAAUGCGUAGAUAUCAGAAGGAACAUCAAUGGCGAAGGCAGCUUUCUGGACCAAUACUGACGCUGAGGUACGAAAGCGUGGGUAGCAAACAGGAUUAGAUACCCUGGUAGUCCACGCCGUAAACGAUGAUAACUAGCCGUUGGGGGGAUUUACCCUUUAGUGGCGAAGCUAACGCGUUAAGUUAUCCGCCUGGGGAGUACGGCCGCAAGGUUAAAACUCAAAGGAAUUGACGGGGACCCGCACAAGCGGUGGAGCAUGUGGUUUAAUUCGAUGCAACGCGAAGAACCUUACCUGGUCUUGACAUCCUGCGAACUUUCUAGAAAUAGAUUGGUGCCUUCGGGAACGCAGUGACAGGUGCUGCAUGGCUGUCGUCAGCUCGUGUCGUGAGAUGUUGGGUUAAGUCCCGUAACGAGCGCAACCCCUAUCCUUAUUUGCCAGCACAUCAUGGUGGGAACUAUAAGGAGACUGCCGGUGAUAAACCGGAGGAAGGCGGGGACGACGUCAAGUCAUCAUGGCCCUUACGACCAGGGCUACACACGUGCUACAAUGGGAAGGACAAAGAGCCGCGAAGCCGCGAGGUGUAGCUAAUCUCAUAAACCUUUUCGUAGUCCGGAUUGGAGUCUGCAACUCGACUCCAUGAAGUCGGAAUCGCUAGUAAUCGUAGAUCAGAAUGCUACGGUGAAUACGUUCCCGGGUCUUGUACACACCGCCC
rnacentral:rRNA from 1 species